AGUGAACGCUGGCGGUAGGCCUAACACAUGCAAGUCGAACGGCAGCACAGGAGAGCUUGCUCUCUGGGUGGCGAGUGGCGGACGGGUGAGGAAUACAUCGGAAUCUACUUUUUCGUGGGGGAUAACGUAGGGAAACUUACGCUAAUAGCGCCUACGACCUACGGGUGGAAGCAGGGGCCCUUCGGGCCUUGCGCGAUUGAAUGAGCCGAGGUCGGAUUAGCUAGUUGGCGGGGUAAAGGCCCACCAAGGCGACGAUCCGUAGCUGGUCGGAGAGGAUGAUCAGCCACACUGGAACUGGGACACGGUCCAGACUCCUACGGGAGGCAGAAGGGGGGAAUAUUGGACAAUGGGCGCAAGCCUGAUCCAGCCAUACCGCGUGGGUGAAGAAGGCCUUCGGGUUGUAAAGCCCUUUUGUUGGGAAAGAAAUCCAGCCGGCUAAUAUGCGGUUGGGAUGACGGUACCCAAAUAAUAAGCACCGGCUAACUUCGUGCCAGCCGCCGCCGUAA
rnacentral:rRNA from 1 species